UUGGCGGCCGCCCUGGCCCCCCGGAGGCCCGGGGCGGAGGCCGGGCCUUCCUCACGCCCAGCCACCUGCUCGGCCGGCGGGCAGCGGCCUGCGAGUGCGGGAGCCUGGCCCCUUUAUAUACCGGGUUAUUUUUAACCGGCGGCCGCAGGAAGCCCUGCUUGGCCCGUUUCCUGCCGCGGAGGCCGGAGGCCGAGAGCCGAGAGCAACAGCCGGGACUGAGCGGCUCGGGCAGAGCCGGGUCCCUCCAGCCCUGAAGGGGCCCGUCACAGCCGCGGGCCCAGGACCCAGGACACCCGCCCGUCCCCCAGGCUGGACCCGCGCCAGGUCCGUCCCCAGGUGGAAGGAGGGGGUCCCCUCCCCAAGAAGGACCCAGGAUGUGUCUCGGGGCUGGAUUUUGGGGGGAAGGAAAGCCUCUUUGUGUUCCUGAGUGUGACCCAGACCACGGUGACGGCAUUUCCCAGGUUCCAGGGAGCCCCCGGUCCCCUCCGCUCUGACGCCCUCAUGGUCCCCAGGACCUCGGAGGGACGCCUGAGGCCCUGACCUACCCGGGCCCAGAGUCCCAGCCUGGGGACCGUCACUGCCUCCUGGCAAGAUGGCGUGGGACCCACCCAGGGAGCACCUUCCGCGGAGGGUGACGGGGCCUCGGGCCAGACACUCCCCCCAAAUCAUGGAGGCCAGCCAAAUGACGUGGCCAAAUGUCCCCUGGGGUGCAGGGCUGUCCCCAGGGGGAACGCAGGUGGACGUCUCUGGGGAGUGGACAAGAUCCCCUCCGAGGCACAAAGGAGACUCGGAAACGGGUGACCCCAAGGAGGGGCCACAGCAGCAAUCGGAGAGACGGGGCCCAAGAAGGGGACAUGAGGGUCCCCUGUCCUUGGCACAGAAGCGGGGCCCGGCUGGGUUUGGCCCCGUCAUCUUGAACCAGGGACUGGGGACAGGUCCUCCCCCCCCAGCCUCAGUUUCCCCAUCUCCUACGGGGGACAGGGCCCUGCCAAGGGGACACUGGGGCUGUCAUCAGAUGUGGGCAGCAGCCCCGAGGGUUUUCCCGUGGUGGCCCCAGGCUGGUCCGUGGGGAGCCAGGUGGGGACCCGUCCCAAGUUCCCAGGGUCCCCGCUGCUUCCCGGAGGGACACAUCAGCAUCCAUCCCCAGGAGAAGGGAAGAGGCUGGAGGGAGCCUCCACGGAGGCCAGCCUCCUCCUCCUCCUCCGCAGGCACAGAAACCACCAAUGGCUGUCCUGCCGGGUCACACUUCCAGGUGGCAGGUGACGCUCACAGUGACGAAGAUAACCUCUCCUUCGCUCAGGGAGGUCGCAGGAGGAGGGCAGCGAGCACCUGUACGGCGGCUUUUCAGCAGUUCUCCUGAGGGACAGUGUGACGCCUUCGCUCGCUUAAGCGCACGGUGACGUCCGUCUGUCUGCCCUGCGCUCCCGCUGCCACGGAGGGUUCUAGAACAUUUUUGUUGCCCCAACAGAAAGCCCACCCCAGCCACCACCCACCAGGACGGUGGCUUUUACAUUUUUAAUAGAUGAAAACUAUUAGAGGGAGAAUGAUCUGUUGUCACAUGUGAAGUGUCCCUGAGAUUCUGAUGUCAUACAGUUUCAUCGACACGA